GUGCUUGCUUCGGCAGCACAUGUACUAAAAUUGGAACGAUACAGAAAAGAUUAGCAUGGCCCUUGUGCAAGGAUGACACGAAAAUUCGUGAAACAUUCCAUAUUAAA
rnacentral:snRNA from 1 species